AUGGAUCUAUGCCACCCUCUCCGACACGAUGUGUUAUCAUGUCCUUGGCGCAACCACCACCUACGCCAUUUUGCACAAAAUCAUGGGCUUCCUCAUGAAUGGCACCGCCCGCUUUAUGAUUCUCAAUCGCCAGUAUCGCAACCUCAAGCAGGGCGCUCUGUCUCCGAGUACGCACGUCGGAUGAAGCUCCUCAUGGGCGGCCUUGCCGACAUCGACCACGCCGUCACCAAGGUGGAUCUCACCACUCAGUUUCUUCACGGCCUCGACAAACGGCUUGACACCAUUUGGGUCGUCCUCGGCGAUCAAUCCCUUCCCUUCGACACCGUCCUCUCCCGAGUUGUCCUGGCUGAGGAGUCUCAGACGCAACGCGCACCCAAGGAGAGCGCCUCGGCGUUCGCUCUGUCAGGUGGGGGCUCCUCGGGUGGCUCUUCCAGCACGGGCGCUCGUGGCCAGUCAGAUCGCGGUGAGCGCUCCAUUGAUCCUGCUCAGGGCGCGCCUCAUCCGCCGCCCCAGAACUCUGGUGGUCGUUGA
rnacentral:rRNA from 1 species